UAUGUGCCCCCGCAACCACCCUGUUGUAGGGACAGAUGAGGCAGGGCACCGAGGACAGCAGGAAACAGUUUUAUUUGGCUGCAGCCAGGUUCAGAGGGCACAGCCUUUGCUGUAAUUAAUCAAUCCCCUGAACCCCGAGUUCAGGGAGUUGCAGAGUUUUAUACCCAGCAUGGAAGGGGAGGGACUCAGAAGUUCACAGUCUGCAGAAGUUCACAUAAAAGCAGCUUUUUCUUUCACUGUUCUGGGCAAGUUAACCCUUCAAGGACAACACCUGAGAAGAGGGGAGCUUCUUGUCCCCUCUCUUUCCUCCCCCUGCCAGCUGUUACCAUGAGCCCAUUUGUAACUUAUCUUAAAAAUGUAGACAUCUCUGUGAAGCCCAGCUCAAGGCCAGAGGCCUUGUUUGCACAUUUCUUCAAAGUACUAUACUGGAUACGUUUGUGAAAAACUAGUAAGGGGGUGUCCAGCACCUGGAGUGAUGGUAUCUUCUCGGCCAGUGGCCAAGUAAACAGGGUGACAGGAAAAUAGGAAGUUUAUCUACAUUGGACUCUUUUGCUGACAGUGCUAAAAUCAGCCAUGGUGAAGAGGGCUUUUCUGUGGAGAAAGGGGGUGCCCCUUCAACCCCUGCAGGGCCAGGAACUCAGGGGCAGGCCCGGGUGGGUGUGGUGCUCUGAAGAUCUGAGGGUCACCUUCACACGCUGACAUCCUGCCCCACGGUGAAGGGGAGGCCACGAGAGCGGAGCCUUCAUGGAUGGCAUCAGUGUCCUCACCAGACACCUGUCCCUUCCACCAAGGGAGGACCAGGGAGAUGUCACCAUCUGUGAGGCAGGUCCUCCUGGAGCCCAGAUCUUCUGGCACCUCCAUCUGGGGCUUCCUGGCCCCCACUGUGGUGGUCAGCCCCUGCCCGUUCCCGAGAUCACCUCCCGAG
rnacentral:lncRNA from 1 species